AUUCCAGCUCCAAUAGCGUAUAUUAAAGUUGUUGCAGUUAAAAAGCUCGUAGUUGGAUUUCUGGCAGGAGCGACCGGUCACACACUCUGUGUGUGAACUUGUGUUGUCUCUGGCCAUCCUUGGGAAGAUCCUGUUUGGCAUUAAGUUGUCGGGCAGGGGAUACCCAUCGUUUACUGUGAAAAAAUUAGAGUGUUUAAAGCAGGCUUAUGCCGUUGAAUAUAUUAGCAUGGAAUAAUAAGAUAGGACUUUGAGUCUAUUUUGUUGGUUUGCGAGUCAAAGUAAUGAUUAAUAGGGACAGUUGGGGGUAUUCGUAUUUCAUUGUCAGAGGUGAAAUUCUUGGAUUUUGGAAAGAUGAACGACUGCGAAGGCAUUUACCAAGGAUGUUUUCAUCA
rnacentral:rRNA from 1 species